rnacentral:snoRNA from 1 species
UGGAAAUGAUGAAAUAGAGAUAUUUGGGUGUUGAAUGUUGCUGUGAGUGGAAAAUUUUAAUACAUGUAGUAAUUCUCCUAGUUCAAUGUUUCAUUGAUAGUUACUAGUGUAAGUGUGUGCAUGCGUGUGUGUGUGUGUGUGUGUGUGUGUGUGUGUGGUGGCUACGAAAGGGGGCACUGAAUGGUGAUGCUGAUAUUGGAGUGCAUCUGAGGCUGUUGUAGAAAUAACAUGGGUUGUUGAUAACAACAUUGCCGAUGAUUAAAACCCAAAAACAGCUCACCUAAGUAGCCCAGCACCCUAAACUCUCUAACAGGAUCAUUAAACAUCCUGUGAUCUGAUCCAA